AUGAAAACAACAACAACAACAACAAAACAUCUUGACUCACAGACUUCCUCUGACAGACUAGGCAGAAGAUUAAACCCAACACCAAGAAGUCCUUGUCGUCACUGGGCUUCAGUGCUUGAAGACACUGAAAUUGUCUAUUCCACUGACCUCCUCCUAGUAUUCCUCACCCAGAUGGAGCUGACUACCAUGGAAAAAUGCAGUUAGCUCCAGAUGCCAAUGGAAUGGACAAUUUAAAGUCUUCAUAGUUCU
rnacentral:lncRNA from 1 species